ensembl:snRNA U1 U1 spliceosomal RNA
AUACUCACCUGGCAGGGAGAUACCAUGAUCACAAAGGUGAUUUUCCCAGGACGAGGCUUAUGCACUGUACUACAAAUGCGCUGACCCCUGCAAUUUCCCCAAAUGUGGGAAACUUACUGCACAAUUUGUGGUGGUAGGGGACUACAUUGGCACUCUCGCC